CCUUGUGUAGUAAAACAGUAAUACGUUGGGUUUAAGCCUCAGAAAUGAAAGAAAUUUCCAUAAGGU
rnacentral:tRNA from 1 species